rnacentral:rRNA from 1 species
CCCUUAGAUGUUCUGGGCCGCACGCGCGCUACACUGAUGCAUUCAACGAGCCUAUCCUUGACCGACAGGUCCGGGUAAUCUUUGAGUCUGCAUCGUGACGGGGAUAGAUUAUUGCAAUUAUUAAUCUUCAACGAGGAAUGCCUAGUAGGCGCAAGUCAUCAGCUUGCGUCGAUUACGUCCCUGCCCUUUGUACACACCGCCCGUCGCUCCUACCGAUUGGGUGUGCUGGUGAAAUGUUCGGAUCGGCCGUUUGUCGCGGUUUCCGCGUCAUGUGGCUGAGAAGUUCAUUAAACCCUCCCACCUAGAGGAAGGAGAAGUCGUAACA